CGCCAUACGUUUCCAAGGCCCACCGCGUAUCCUACGGUCGCCAGGAGAAAUAAAACCCGGACUCCUUCCCUCGCGUGAGGGCCGAGACUGGCUUUUAUUCGGACGUACACGGUGUCCGCGUCACGAGAUAGGAGAGAACGUCCCGCGGAGGAUCAUCCCGAGCCGCUCGCGACUACGCCGCGAGGCCAGAGGACCGAGAGGAAGCGAAAUUACCCACCUGCCGGGGACCAAAGGGGGAAACGCGCGAGGACCUUGUCCGCGGUCGAGGAGCGGUUCGCCACUGGUGACACCCCCGUGUGUUGCGCUGGUGAUAGUAACUUUUGAAACCACGGAUAUAUCCAAGGGAAUCAAUAGCUGGCGCCGGCGCCUCGACGGCUCUCUCUCUCUUUCGCCCGCGACUCUCUCGUGGAACGAAACCGCGCGCGAGCCUUUCUCCAAGAGGAAGAAACACCGGGGGGUAGGGAGAGAGAGAACGAAAGACAGGCCAUGAUUUAUCACCAUUCUGAAACUUAACGCGUAAAUCGCAACAACAUUGUACACGAAGUAUAUAUAUAAAAUUUAAAAAAAAGUACGAACACAUGAGGGAAAAUUAGGAUAGGCGAUUGUUAAAAAUUGCACAACUUAAUUAAGAAAUUAAAACAUGAGAAUUAAUCCUGAUUACUUUAUAUCAAUAAUUAGUUACACUAUUCUUUAUGUAUAGUGAAAAAUAUUUAUUACAAAAGUAGGUCCUGUACAAAGAGGGAGAAUUAUAGUUUUAACUUGUCAAUGUACAUAAAAUUUUUUUAUUCACAUAA